rnacentral:rRNA from 1 species
GAUUAAAGUAACAAAGGGCACACAAGGGAUGCCUAGGUAGAAAGAGCCGAAGAAGGACGUGGUAAGCUGCGAUAAGCUUGGCGAAGUUGCAAACGAACGUAGAUGCCAAGAUUUCCGAAUGGAGCAAUCUGUAAAGAGUCAUGUCUUUACACGAAAGAGGGAACCGGGUGAACUGAAACAUCUAAGUAAUCCGAGGAAAAGAAAGUAACAACGAUACCUUAAGUAGCGGCGAGCGAACGGGGUAGAGCCUAAACCAUAUUCAUGUCAAGGAUGCAGCCGUUGUGGAUAUGGGGUAGCGGGAAAGAGAGAGAAAGAACUGCAAGCUAUUUCGCAGACGCAAGCAAAGGAACAAGAAAGAUCUGGAAAGGUCUACCGUAGAAGGUGAAAGUCCUGUAUUGGUAGUUUUCUUGCGCUGUAUCUCUUCUCCCAAGUAAUGUGGAACACGAGGAAUUC